rnacentral:rRNA from 1 species
AGCAGCCGCGGUAAUUCCAGCUCCAAUAGCGUAUAUUAAAGUUGUUGCAGUUAAAAAGCUCGUAGUUGAAUUUCGGGGUUAGUAGGCUGGUCGUGCCACUGGUAUGUACUGGUCUCACUGAUUCCUCCUUCCUGAUGAGCUGUAAUGCCAUUAAUUUGGUGUUGCAGGGAAUCUGGACUGUUACUUUGAAAAAUUAGAGUGUUUAAAGCAGGCUAACGCUUGAAUACAUUAGCAUGGAAUAAUGAAAUAGGACGAUCGAACCUAUUUUGUUGGUUUCUAGGAUUGACGUAAUGAUUAAUAGGGAUAGUUGGGGGCAUUAGUAUUCAAUUGUCAGAGGUGAAAUUCUUGGAUUUAUUGAAGACUAACUACUGCGAAAGCAUUUGCCAAGGAUGUUUUCAUUAAUCAAGAACGAAAGUUAGGGGAUCGAAGACGAUCAGAUACCGUCGUAGUCUUAACCAUAAACUAUGCCGACUAGGGAUCGGAUGAUGUAAUUUUUAAUGACUCAUUC